AGGAAGGUAGUGUAGUUAACACCUGCAUUAUUUGACGUUACCUACAGAAGAAGCACCGGCUAACUCCGUGCCAGCAGCCGCGGUAAUACGGAGGGGUGCGAGCGUUAAUCGGAAUUACUGGGCGUAAAGCGCAUGCAGGCGGCCUGUUAAGUCAGAUGUGAAAGACCCGGGGCGUUAACCUCGGAAUUGCAUUUGUAAACUGGCAGGCUAGAGUCUUGUAGAGGGGGGUAGGAAUUUCAGGUGUAGCGGUGAAAUGCGUAGAGAUCUGAAGGAAUACCAGUGGCGAAGGCGGCCCCCUCGGACAAAGACUGACGCUCAGAUGCGAAAGCGUGGGGAGCAAACAGGAUUAGAUACCCUGGUAG
rnacentral:rRNA from 1 species